ACCUUAUAUAGAUGUAGUAACGCAAGACAGUUGCGCAUCUCCCUGUAAGGUGAUGUUUUAAUAGAAGUAUAAACAACAAGUCUCAUUGUGUGGCUACGAGUCGAAAUGAGAUGAGUUUAUAUGGAAUAGGUUAACCGUAAGACCUUGAGUUGAAAAACUCUAAAAUUAAGCUAGAAAUCUCUAGUUACGGUGGA
rnacentral:sRNA from 12 species